rnacentral:misc_RNA from 1 species
AUUUAUGUUUUCAAAACAAACAAGGUAGAAAACGAACGAGAGAGGAAAAUAUCGACGUAAAUCCUCUGUCUUCGUAUUAAUAGAAAUAUUUAUUAUGUAUUUUUAAUAAGCAAAGAGUCAAGUUAGAAAAGGACCCUAUCAAACAAUGAAAGGAACAGAUUCUCAGCCUGAGAUAGUAGAAGGAUGCAGAUUGCCAGUCGUUACUGAGAAAUGGAGAUGGAUGGCACAUGGCAGAAAUUCUUGGAAAGAAAGACCUAAAAGGGAAAAACCUUUACUAUAUUCACUAUGAAGACUUCAAUAAGAGGUUGGAUGAAUGGGUCACAGAAGAACGUAUGGACAUUGCUAAGCUUGUACAGCCUUCAAAAGAGGCCAAGACACCAAAAAAAGAAGGGGUCAAAUCUGGAACAGAGUCAAGGCCAUCUAGUCCUGAAAGAGAAGUCGUUAGCACUCCAAAUGGGUCAGCAGCACCUACAACAGGAAACAAAAAAUUCAGCAGCAGCAGCAGGAAAAGAAAAGGGGCUGAUGACUCAGAGAUUGACCCCUUAGCGACCCCCACAGGGCAGUAGGAACAAUACCCCUACGCUUGGCCUCCAACAGCAGAACAAUGUAGCAUUGAAUGAAGAUGGCUCCAAGAAGCCCAGACAGACAGGAAGUAUGGUUGCUCACCAUGACGAUAUAGUAACCAGGAUGAAAAAUGUAGAAAUGAUAGAACUAGGAAAAUACAGAAUUCGUCCCUGGUAUUUUUCUCCCUAUCCUCAGGAAUUGACGUCUUUAUCCAUAGUGUAUAUUUGUGAAUUUUGUCUGAAAUAUGUGAAAAGUAAAAAGUGCUUAGAGAGACAUAUACAAAAGUGCUUACUGCGAUAUCCCCCAGGGAAUGAAAUCUACAGGAAAGGAAACAUAUCAUUUUUCGAAAUUGAUGGAAGGAAAAAUAAAGCAUAUGCUCAGAACCUGUGUCUCUUGGCCAAGCUAUUUCUAGACCACAAAACACUGUAUUAUGACACUGACCCCUUCCUGUUCUACGUGAUGUGUGAACAAGACUGUAAAGGCUACCACAUUGUGGGCUAUUUCUCCAAGGAAAAGGAGUCCACAGAAGACUACAAUGUAGCCUGUAUUUUGACUUUGCCCCCAUUCCAGAAAAAAGGGUUUGGAAAACUUUUGAUAGAAUUCAGUUAUGAGUUGUCCAAGUGUGAAGGAAAGACUGGUUCCCCAGAAAAGCCGCUAUCUGACCUUGGUCUGCUGUCCUAUAGGAGUUAUUGGUCCCAGACCAUCCUGGAGAUUCUCAUCACCAUGACGCCUUCAGAGGGCAACGAUCGGCCCGUCAUCACCAUCAAUGAUAUCUCGGAGAUGACAAGCAUCAAGAAAGAGGAUGUGAUUUCCACCUUACAACACCUGAACCUGAUUAACUACUACAAGGGACAGUACAUCAUCACCUUAUCUCACGAACAGAUCGACACCCAGAACAAGGCCAUGGAGAAACGCAAAGUACGAAUCGACCCCAAGUGUCUGCACUGGCAACCCAAGGACUGGAGCAAGCGGGGCAAGUGGUGAGAGGAGUCAGGACUUGGGGGGAAAUAUGUAUGCAAGAGGUGGUGAAAAGUUUGUAAAGUUAGAAGUCAUAAUGAAUGAACUUGUGGCUCAUGAUGAGCUCCAAGCUAAGUGAUUUGGAGUUUGAGGAGGGUACUGCUCAUCUAUAGCUUGAUUGGAAAGCCAAUACCAAGCAAAUAAUGAAAUUAUUUAUAUGGUUUAUCUCUUUCUCUGAUGUUUAUUGGUAUGCAGAGAUAAAGGAACACAACUGUAUUUGCACAUGCAGUGGCAGUUUGCAACUGCCCAAGAUUCUUGAUAUAUGUACAUGUACCAGAAAUGGAGUUUUUUGGGGGGGUUAUAUAAAUUUAGAAUCUCAACCCUAUGUAGAAAUAUAGGUAGUUCACAAGAACUAUUUGAUGAAAUAAUGUAGUGUGCAAGAUGUGUAUCUAUAGCUUGAUAUUUGAACAUUUGUUUUAUACUCAUCAAGCAAUUCCUUGUAAUCCAUGCAAAUGAAAUAAACUUACAAAAAUCUU